UAUCUUCUCUCGAUUUCCUCUCCACACCAAAACUUCUUUUUUUUCUUCUCUUAUUUUCCUUUCUCUUUUCUUACCUGAGUUUUGUUACAGAUCGUUCAUGGCUUCAACCAAGAACGUGAGAAUAACUUCGUUUCUGUUAUUGUGGGAUUGUUUUGAAGAACGGGAAUAACUAGAGUCCCUUCGUUUUUUCCGAAAACCUUAAAACUUGAAUCUAAAACCUCAAAACUAUUUUCAUAUUCAACCAUUUUCUUUGAUGUUAGGGUUGUAAUCAAUUGUUCUUUUGGAUGAUUCGUUUUUUUCAAUUUCUUGAACUCCAGAAGGAGUUAUUAGAUGACCGAUCAUCAGUGAUGGUUCACAAGGUUUUUUGGAAUUGAGUGAGAAAGAUGGAUCUAGUUCUAUGAAAUCAGAGAGGAUAAGUAUCGCUACUAUGUAAAUACAUUAAAAAAAACGUAUACAAACAUGUGAUGGCAUCCUCAAUCAGGUAGAUGAAAUACUCCACUUAUUCAAUGAACUGCAGAUGCAACAUCAAGAAGUUGCAACAAAGACGAAAACAUUACAUGACCCUUGUGACCGAUUGGCUUGGUCAUAUUUGUUAUCUUUUCAGCAGGGUGCUGGUUUUGACAAUAGGGUGGAUUAUAUCCCUUGGCAUGAAGCUUAGAGAUGAUUUGGAGAUCUUGAAGAAGAUAGGGAGCUCCUAAGUAGAGAGAAGGAAGGCUUAAUCCAAUUCCCAACUGAUAAGAGACUCUUGACUGAUCCUAUUUUCCGUCCCCUUGCUGACAAAGGUGCAGAGAAUGCAGGAUUCUAUCUACAAAUACUUGAACUAGACUAUGGAAUUCUGCAAAAGAUACUUGAAUGUGGAGAUAAUGAAUAUUCGGAUGGAGCUGCUAGCAGCUAGCUCAGGAACUAGCUGAAUGUGGAUUGUAGAUAUUCAAUCACAAUGUUUUGUUGAGUUCAAUACCUUUAUGGAUGCCAUCAUUCUCUUCCAGAUGGUCUGAGGUUCACUGAUGUCAUGGUUGAUGGUAUGAUCGUUGUUGCUGCUGGAUACGAAAAUGUUGGAAAAGGUUGUGCUUCUGCAGUUCUACUCUCAAGCAAGCUGCUGGACUUAUAUUAAUUAGCAGCUGAAUCCUUUUUUUUUUUUUUGAGUUUGGACUAAAAUCAUGAGUACAAUUCAAUGUAAUGGAGCUAUCAUUUUGUAUCAGAUGAAUCAUGUUUUAUAUGAAAUUUGAAUUUGAAUUGUCA